rnacentral:rRNA from 1 species
GCUACCAGGCGUCGAGCGGCGGACGGGUGAGUAACGCGUGAGAAUCUGCCCAUUUGUGGGGGAUAACUCGGGGAAACUCGAGCUAAUACCGCAUAAUCCCUACGGGGGAAAGCAGGGGACCUUCGGGCCUUGUGCAGAUGGAUGAGCUCGCGUCGGAUUAGCUUGUUGGUGAGGUAAAGGCUCACCAAGGCGACGAUCCGUAGCUGGUCUGAGAGGAUGAUCAGCCACACCGGGACUGAGACACGGCCCGGACUCCUACGGGAGGCAGCAGUGGGGAAUCUUGGACAAUGGGGGCAACCCUGAUCCAGCCAUGCCGCGUGUGUGAAGAAGGCCUUCGGGUUGUAAAGCACUUUCAGUAGGGAGGAAGGCUUACCGCUAAUAACGGUGAGUACUUGACGUUACCUACAGAAGAAGCACCGGCUAAUUUCGUGCCAGCAGCCGCGGUAAUACGAAAGGUGCGAGCGUUAAUCGGAAUUACUGGGCGUAAAGCGCGCGUAGGCGGUUUGUUAAGUCAGAUGUGAAAGCCCCGGGCUCAACCUGGGAAUUGCAUUUGAAACUGGCAGGCUAGAGUGCAGUAGAGGGAGGUGGAAUUUCCGGUGUA